rnacentral:rRNA from 1 species
GACGAACGCUGGCGGCGUGCUUAACACAUGCAAGUCGAACGGAAAGGCUCUGCUUUUGUGGGGUGCUCGAGUGGCGAACGGAUGAGUAACACGUGAGUAACCCGCCCUUGACUUUGGGAUAACUUCAGGAAACUGGUGCUAAUACCGGAUAGGAGCUCCCGCUGCAUGGUGGGGGUUGGAAAGCUUCGGCGGUUGGGGAUGGACUCGCGGCUUAUCAGCUUGUUGGUGGGGUAGUGGCUUACCAAGGCUUUGACGGGUAGCCGGCCUGAGAGGGUGACCGGCCACAUUGGGACUGAGAUACGGCCCAGACUCCUACGGGAGGCAGCAGUGGGGAAUAUUGCACAAUGGGCGGAAGCCUGAUGCAGCAACGCCGCGUGCGGGAUGACGGCCUUCGGGUUGUAAACCGCUUUCGCCUGUGACGAAGCGUGAGUGACGGUAAUGGGUAAAGAAGCACCGGCUAACUACGUG